AUUGAACGCUAGCGGGAUGCUUUACACAUGCACGUCGAACGAGUGGCGGCCGGGUGAGGAAUAUAACGGAAAGUGCCCAGUAGCGGGGGAUAACUACUCGAAAGAGUGGCUAAUACAGCAUAAUAUUGGAGCGGCCGUUAUCGGAUUAGCUGGUUGGGGGGGUAAAGGCUCUCCAAGUCAACGAUCCGUAGCUGGUUUGAGAGGACGACCAGCCACAGUGGGACUGAUACACGACCCAGACGCCUUCGUGAGGCAGCAGUGGGGAAUGUUGGUCAAUGGGGGAAACCCUUAUGCAGCUAUGCCGCGUGUAUGAGAAGGCCCGAGGGUUGUAAAGUACGUUCAGUCGGGAGGCGUUACCGACAGAAGAAGCACCGGCUAACUCCGUGCCAGCAGCCGCGGUAAUUC
rnacentral:rRNA from 1 species